AAUAGAUACCCAGGUAGUCCACGCCGUAAACGAUGUCGACUUGGAGGUUGUGCCCUUGAGGCGUGGCUUCCGGAGCUAACGCGUUAAGUCGACCGCCUGGGGAGUACGGCCGCAAGGUUAAAACUCAAAUGAAUUGACGGGGGCCCGCACAAGCGGUGGAGCAUGUGGUUUAAUUCGAUGCAACGCGAAGAACCUUACCUACUCUUGACAUCCAGAGAACUUGGCAGAGAUGCCUUGGUGCCUUCGGGAACUCUGAGACAGGUGCUGCAUGGCUGUCGUCAGCUCGUGUUGUGAAAUGUUGGGUUAAGUCCCGCAACGAGCGCAACCCUUAUCCUUUGUUGCCAGCGGUCCGGCCGGGAACUCAAAGGAGACUGCCAGUGAUAAACUGGAGGAAGGUGGGGAUGACGUCAAGUCAUCAUGGCCCUUACGAGUAGGGCUACACACGUGCUACAAUGGCGCAUACAAAGAGAAGCGACCUGCGAGAGCAAGCGGACCUCAUAAAGUGCGUCGUAGUCCGGAUUGG
rnacentral:rRNA from 1 species